GGCGUGUCCGAAGGUAGUGAGUUAGCUCAAUUGAUUGUUCACAGUCAGUUACCGAUCGAACUCCUUGUUCUACUCUUUCCUCUCCUCUCAUUUCUGCACUUGACUAGGCUUAU
ensembl:misc_RNA Y_RNA Y RNA